rnacentral:rRNA from 1 species
AGAGCGAACGCUGGCGGCAGGCCUAAUACAUGCAAGUCGAACGCACCUUCGGGUGAGUGGCGGACGGGUGAGUAACACGUGGGAACGUGCCUUUUGGUUCGGAAUAAUCCGGGGAAACCUGGCCUAAUACCGGAUGUGCCCUUCGGGGGAAAGAUUUAUCGCCAUUAGAGCGGCCCGCGUCUGAUUAGCUAGUUGGUGGGGUAAUGGCCCACCAAGGCGACGAUCAGUAGCUGGUCUGAGAGGACGAUCAGCCGGACUGGGACUGAGAUACGGCCCAGACUCCUACGGGGGGCAGCAAUUAGGAAUCUUGCGCAAUGGGCGAAAGCCUGACGCAGCGACGCCGCGUGGAGGAUGAAGUCCUUUUGGAUGUAAACUCCUUUUGGUUGGGAAGAAACAAUGACGGUACCAUCCGAAUAACGCCCCGGCUAACUACGUGCCAGCAGCCGC